CUCUUCUGUGUGCUUCUUAUUGGAGAAGAUUUAACUCUAGAAAUUCUUGGCCCACAAGAGCUCAGAUGGUAUUUUCUAAAGUAUGGAGGAUCCUUCCCUGGAAAAGUGUAUUCCAUACUCAGAUGAAAGUUCAGGGCGAUGUCUCAGUCGAAAGGAAGAAAUCUAAGAAACAAACCGACUCUGAUGCCAUAUCAUUUGCAUGCCAUCAUGUCUCAGCUAAUACUUGGUGUGAUCUCCAGCUCUGCUGCCAAUACGAAAGAGUUUCACAAAUCAAACAUUAGCAGCCCUGCCUGAUGGGUCCCUGCAGUUGUUACAUUGCUGCAAGUUGUCUCCUUUGCUUCUGUGGGCCAUGGGAGGAGUAUUGGGAUAGCCACCAAGAGAAGCAGCAGCAGAAGAGGCAGGAGAGAAAGACCCAGAGAAAGAAGCCAGAGAAGCCCAGAGUGAAGACUUGCUGGGGACUUGGAGACUACGGGACUCCUGGUCCCCAGCACGCCGCCUGCUGUGUACCUGUUUGCCAUACUACAUGUAAAACUCAAUAAAAGCCUGAGAAAGCCACGGAGGGCUCCAAGCCUCUCCUUUACCCAUCUGCUGGAUCAUAGACAUCCUGCUCAGUGGCCCU